rnacentral:rRNA from 1 species
UACGAAGGGUGCAAGCGUUAAUCGGAAUUACUGGGCGUAAAGCGCACGUAGGCGGCUUUGUAAGUUAGAGGUGAAAGCCCGGGGCUCAACUCCGGAAUUGCCUUUAAGACUGCAUCGCUAGAAUUGUGGAGAGGUAAGUGGAAUUCCGAGUGUAGAGGUGAAAUUCGUAGAUAUUCGGAAGAACACCAGUGGCGAAGGCGACUUACUGGACACAUAUUGACGCUGAGGUGCGAAAGCGUGGGGAGCAAACAGG